rnacentral:lncRNA from 1 species
GCAGAACGGCGGUGAGAAUCCUGCCUGAGCCGAGCGCGGGAGUGUAUCCCGGUACUCCCCACGGAUGGAGAGCCCCCGGCCCCUCUGCUCUUCAGGAUAUUCAAGGAGGAAGCCCAAAUAGCAAUCUUGGGGAAGGAAAUGAUCUAGGGGCUGAAGAAGAACGCUCCAGCAUCACCACACCACAUGUGGGGGGCUCUUGAGAACUGUCACCUGGAUCUACAGCCCACGCCUAUAACUUAUCAAGACAGAUGUCCCGACUGUCCCAUGACAAGCAAGAUGGUGCUGAGAUUAGCAAGUCGGCGGCCCCAUGAACACCGCAGGUCCACUGUGGAUGGAAAGAGUACCCACACCGCCAAGAGGAAGGGCAAGUCUAACUCCAAGGUUGACCUCAGUUCGGCUCUGCCCACGAGGACGCUAAGGGGAGACGGGAAGGCAGGAGGAGGAAGGACUUACUGCUCCCUGCUGGCUUGCUAGAUCUGACGCCAUUGCUCCCGCGCCGACCCUUCACGUCCCCUCCGAGGACCCAGCAGCGGCAGCUGGGUGGUGGCCGCUGGGAUGUCUCAGCCCCAACUCUGCACUUUAGAGUCUGUAUCCGAACCGCUUUCCCUUGUUCCCCAUCCCUGGGGAUGGUGACGGCAUCCCGUAAUUAUCACCUCUGCUGAAAUGCCCAGUGUGGUUUCUGUUUUCCCUGCUGGACUCCUAAAUGGUACAUGAGUUUGCCAAAAAUCAAAGAAAAAAAGGGAAAUUCAACCUGAAUAUGAUCAAAUCUCUGU